rnacentral:pre_miRNA from 1 species
ACAACAUUGGGAUCGUCGGUCUACCGAGCAAUAUCUCCCGCUCGGUGGAAGAUCUUCCUGUUAUAGU